UUUCCGUAGGUGAACCUGCGGAAGGAUCAUUACAAUGUUUUCUGUCGGGAGGUCGUGCCCUCGUGGUACGGCCUGUCGGCAUGUAACGUCACCCUGUGAACCUACCAUGUUUGGUGUGUGUCCGGCCGACCUAGUUGAGGGCGCGAGCCCGGGACGAGGUAGACCGCCGCACGCACCAGUAUCUACCCAACCUCAGUCUGAUAGAAAAACAAACCGAGAAAACCUCCAACAACGGAUCUCUUGGCUCCGGCAUCGAUGAAGAACGCAGC
rnacentral:misc_RNA from 1 species